rnacentral:rRNA from 1 species
AUGAGCGACGGCGAGCGCCGCGACGAGGACGUCGCGACCACCAGCGCCGCAGAUGACGACGACGAUGAGGACUACGAGGAGCCUGGCGGAGAGAACCAUUUCCUGGGGUUCAUGUUUGGCAACGUCGACGACGCCGGCGACCUCGACGCCGACUAUCUCGACGAGGAUGCGAAGGAACAUCUUUUUGCGCUGGCAGACAAGCUUGGUGCAUCUCUGAAAGACAUUGAUCUGACUAAGUCUUCUCCAGCAACAGCCGAUCCUUCUGAGCAAGAUUAUGAUGAGAAAGCAGAGGAUGCUGUUGACUAUGAAGAUAUUGAUGAACAAUAUGAUGGACCUGAAGUUGAAGCAGCUACAGAGGAAGACCAUUUGCUAUCCAAGAAAGAUUACUUCUCCUCAAACACAAUGUUUUCUUCGGUCAGUAGUAAAGUUUCAGUGUUUGAUGAGGAGAACUAUGAUGAGGAUGAAGAACCACCCAAUGAUAUCGAGUUACCUGGUGAUAAUGUUAUACAAGAUGUCAUUUCAGCCGAGCAGCCGGAAAUAUCACCCUCUAAUGAUAAUCCGGCCAUUGGAAAGGUAUCUAGCCCGUUGCCACAAUCUGGGGAAACUAUGGAUGUUGAAUAUGAAGUUUGUCAGGAAGAAAUUGACACUGAGGAAGAUCAACUCGAGUCUAAAUCUGCGUCUACCCUCCCUGUUUUAUGCAUAGAGGAUGGGAGUGUGAUCUUGAAGUUCUCUGAAAUUUUUGGUGCACAGGAGCCUGUAAGAAAGGCCAAGACAGAUCAGCAUAAGCGGCCAGUGAAUAAAGAGCUCUGUAUCACAAACAUCAGUGACAUUGUUGAGGAUGACGAGGAAGUAUUUCUAAGGAGUACUAUUCAAGAUGUCUCAUCUUUGAAGCAUAUCAAGAUGAAUGAAGAGUUUAUCGAGAGUGACAGUGAUGAGUUAAUUUCUAGUGAUACUUUUGGGUUUAAAGAUUUAUGUCUUUCUGAACAACCAAUGAAGGAUGUACACAAAGAGUUCCCUACUGCUAAACAAGCUCUAGUUUGUCCUGAUGUUUAUCCACUUGAGCACGAAGACUGGGAAAAUGGUAUCAUUUGGGGCAAUUCACCAGCAAGUGAAAGUCAGUCUUGUUUAAAAAGCUGUCUGAUAUCUGAAGAGAGCUCUGAUGCUCACAGUGAAGAUGAGGCUAAGGAUUAUGGUUAUGUAUCCAGGCGUUGUGAUGUACAGGAUAAAAAUAAUGGUUCUCCAGUAAUAACAGAGCCUUUUGGCUGUACAGAAAUGCCUGCUUCAGCUAGUUAUCAUUCCCCUGAGAAUAGUUAUCCUCCAUUGAUAAAGGAGACUCCUCAGGAGAAGAAUGACUUAGACCACGCGGAACCAAAUAACAUAAAUGGAACAGUUAAAAUCAAUACGAUGAAGUGUUUAAGCAACCUCUCUCUUCUGAACAAGGAACUGUUGGAAGGAUCUUGGUUGGACAAUGUAAUUUGGGAUCCCAGUGAGGAUACUCCUAAGCCUAAGUUAAUCUUGGACCUGAAAGAUGACCAGAUGCUUUUCGAGAUUUUAGAUGAGAAGAAUGGGGAUCACCUCCGCUCACAUGCUCGUGCGAUGAUUGUUAGUCGGCCAAUUAAGACUGCAACAGUGGAAAAUUUUGGCCAUAACAACCAAGCAAUUACAUUGGAUGCCCAAUUCAACAUUUCCAAUGACAAAUUUUAUUCCAACAGGAAGAUGUCCCAACAAGCUAAAUCUCAUACUAAAAAGCGUUCUUCAAUGGGCAUAAAGGUGGUACAUUCUGUUCCUGGUCAGAAGUUGCAGACCAUGAAGCCAAAGCUGAGCACUAACGAAAUUGCAAAUUUCCAUAGACCAAAAGCUAAGUGGUACCCCCAUGAAAAUAAACUUGCUGCUGAGUUGCAAGGAGCUGCUUGCAGUCAUGGGUCAAUGACUGUUAUAGUAAUGACGUUAGCAGGAAAAGGAGUGAAACUUCUCGUCAAUGCAGAGGAAACUCCACUAUCAGUAAAAUCAAAAGCUUCCAAGAAAUUAGAAUUUAGACCAUCUGAAAAGAUAAAAUUGUUUGGUUAUGGAAAAGAACUCCAGGAUGACAUCUCCUUGGCCAUGCAAAAUGUGCGACCAAACUCUAUUCUGCAUGUUGUUCGCACUGAAGUACAUCUAUGGCCAAAAGCACAGAAGUUGCCUGGAGAGGACAAGGCUCUCCGUCCUCCUGGGGCAUUCAGGAAAAAAGCUGACUUGUCUGUUAAAGAUGGACAUGUAUUUUUGAUGGAAUAUUGCGAGGAGAGACCUUUACUGCUUGCAAAUGCAGGAAUGGGUGCUCGACUCUGUACAUACUACCAGAAAACUUCACCCACUGAUCAGACAGCUAUAUCCCUGCGAAGCAACAAUGAUGGACUGGGUACAGUGCUUGCUAUUGAGCCUGCUGAUAAAUCUCCUUUCCUAGGAGAUGUACGUUCUGGGUCCCAGCAAUCAUGUCUUGAGACAAACAUGUACAGAGCACCUGCAUUUCCUCAUAAGUUGGCAUCGACUGAUUAUCUUUUAGUUCGUUCGCCGAAAGGGAUGCUUUCUCUACGCCGCAUUGACAAGCUAUAUGCUGUUGGCCAACAAGAACCACACAUGGAAGUAUUUUCACCAGGAACGAAAAAUCUGCAGAAUCAUCUUUUGAAUCGAAUGCUCGUAUACGUAUAUCGUGAAUUCCGUCUUAGGGAGAGGCCUGGUGUUCUAUCUCAGAUUCGAGCUGAUGAAGUACCUAUUCAGCAUCCUCUGACAGAAGCUAUUGUGAGAAAACGAUUGAAGCAUUGUGCGGACCUGAAGAAAGGACCCAACGGACAUUAUUACUGGACACAGAGACCUGACUUUCGGAUUCCGUCAGAGGAGGAACUUAGAAGAUUGGUGUCACCAGAAAGUGUCUGCUGUCAUGAGAGUAUGCAAGCUGGUCUGCAUCGUCUCAAUCGCUUAGGAAUCGAGAAGCUUACUCAGCCUGUGGGACUUGCUUCUGCAAUGAAUCAGCUUCCCGAUGAAGCAAUUGAGCUCGCUGCUGCAGCACAUAUUGAGAGGGAGUUGCAAAUCACUAGCUGGAACCUUACCAGCAAUUUUGUUGCUUGUACCAACCAGGACAGAGAGAAUAUCGAAAGACUAGAAAUUACUGGUGUUGGUGAUCCAUCUGGCCGUGGACUAGGAUUUAGCUAUGUGCGGGUAACUCCAAAAGCACCUGUCUCCAAUUCAUCUCAUAAGAAGAAGUCAGCUGCAGCCAAAGGUACCACUGUUACUGGAACAGAUGCUGAUCUCCGCAGGUUAAGCAUGGAUGCUGCCCGAGAGUUGCUUCUCAAAUUCGGAGUUCCAGAUGAGCAAAUUGAUAAAUUAACAAGGUGGCAUCGUAUUGCUAUGGUGAGGAAGCUUUCAAGUGAGCAAGCAGCGUCAGGAAUUACGAUUGAUGAAAUUCCAGUUAGCAAGUUUGCACGUGGACAAAGGAUGUCUUUCAUGCAGCUUCAACAGCAAACUAAAGAGAAAUGUCAGGAAAUUUGGGACAGACAAAUUCAGUCGCUUUCUGCUAUAGACGGUGAUGACAAUGGCAGUGAUACAGAAGCCCAUAGUGAUUUGGACUCGUUUGCCGGGGAUCUUGAAAACUUGCUGGAUGCUGAAGAAUUUGACGAUGAAGAUGUUGGCACUGCAGACCUGAGAAGCGAUAAAGCAGACGGAAUGAGAGGGCUCAAAAUGAGAAGGUGCCCUACCCAAGCUCAGUUUAACGAGGAAAUUCAAGAUGAUCAAGCAGAAGCUGCUCUAGUAAAAAAAUUGCUCGAAGAGAGUGGCAAUGACACGAAGAGGAAGAAACAACCUGUGGAUACGACGAAUCAGGGUGCCAAUAAAACGAAGCAGUUUAAGGCAUUGACGCCAAAGGAGAGCACACCAAGAGGAGCGAAAGAGGUUGACAGUUCUUUUACUGAAGGUGGCUUAUCCUCCAAACUGAAAACCAAGCUGACGGUUGAUGCAAAUGAUAUCAUUCUGGUUAAAAAGAAAAAUGUUCAAGGAAAGGAUGGUUUAAAGGAGAAGAGGCAGGGAGCAAGGGGGGACAGUCUUGUAUGUGGAGCUUGUGGUCAGCUUGGACAUAUGCGGACCAACAAACUGUGCCCCAAGUAUGGGGAGGAUCCAGAAACCUCGGAAAUGGAUGCGGUUUCCUACAGACCUAAUCCUCUUGAUGUAGCAAGUCAUGGUCAAACGAAGACACUGGGCAGGAGGUUGGUAGCCAAGGUUUCUUCUGAUGUUCCUGAAACUGAAGGGCAAGAAAGCAUUGAAAAGAUCAAACCAGUAAAAUUCAGAUGUGGGGCACCUGAGAAGUCCUUGGAUCGGAAUAUGUCAGUGGCAGGUUCUUUGGUUUCUGAUAAACUUACAACGGAUGCUACAGAUUUGAGAUCUACUGGAAAGGUUAGCAAGAUUAAAAUAUACAGUAAGCCUAAGACUGAAGAUUAUCCUCCUGAUACUCCUAAGCCAUCAGUUGUGAUACGGCCUCCUGCUGAAGUAGAGAAGGAUGUACCUCGUAAGAAGGUCAUUAUCAAGCAGCCUAAAGGACAUGUAGACCAGCUAAGAGCUAUUGAAGUUAGGAGUGGUCAGGAGCCUAGGAAGAUAAGGAAAAUUGCUGAAUUAUCAAGUUUUGAGAAGAACAGCAGAGAUGAUGAUGGUUGGUAUGCUGGAGAGCCCAGCCAGAUGAACUCCUCGCAUGAUAGGUUGGGUCGGGAUGGUAACAGGAAAAGCAAAGAAGUAAUGGGAGCUGAUGAAUCCUGGAGAGCUUUUAAAGAGCAGCGAGAGAGACAGGAACAGAGGCUAAUUGAAGCUAGGAUUUAUAGCCGGGAGGAAGAGCUCCAGAAGGCAAAGAAGAAAAGCAAGAAAAAGAAAAAACAUGAAUUUCGAGAUGCUGACAUUCUUGAUCACAGGCCAUACAGAAAUGACAGGAAGGUACCUGAAAGAGAUCGAGCAUCAAAGAGACGUACUCCAGCUGAUAUGACGGAUUAUGCUCCAUCAGCGAAGCGACGCAGAGGAGGAGAGGUUGAGCUCUCCAACAUAUUGGAAAAGAUAGUUGACCACUUGCGGAACCAAACUGCUAUAUCAUUGCUGUUUCUUAAACCAGUGACAAAGAAAGUCGCUCCCGAUUACUACGACGUAAUCCAGCGCCCAAUGGAUCUGGGUACCAUCAGGGACAAGGCGAGGAAGAUGGAGUACAAAAACAGGUAUGAAUUCAGGAAUGACGUGGCACAGAUAGCAGACAACGCGCACAUAUACAACGAGACGCGGCAUCCUCACAUCCCUCCACUGGCCGACGAGCUCCUGGAGUUGUGUGACAACCUUCUUGAUGAAAGCGCGGACGUGCUCGACGACGCCGAGAGCGCAAUGGAGAGCUAG